rnacentral:lncRNA from 1 species
GGAGAGCUGUUGCAGACUGUAAGCAGAGCUGAGGCCUGAUUGAACGUGUGUUGUAAAAAGAGCCUUCUGGUCACAAGGUGGGGCACAGAAAGAAGGGGAUGAGAAGAGAUGCAGAGGGACAAAGCCAGUCCUUGGGUGAAAUGUUCCUCUGAUCACUGCCCCCGUGAAGAAGUUGUGGGGACCAUGACAGAGGGCACCAUAUGAUUCUUACUGCAAAAUUUAACCUCUUAACCUGCAAGUUUUGAAACUUUGGUGUAUUUUAAGAUGCAUUUACCUGCACCUGGGUUUAUGUUUAUUCUGUCUCCACAUUUGAUCAAUUGUGUACCAGCUAUAAAUGCUUUAGAGAUCAUUUCCUUAAGGAAAGCUGGCUCCAUUAUCUCCCAGCAUCUACCAUUGCUCUUAAUAAGUUUGAAGGCAUUCUCACCCUAGUUUUCCCUUCUGGAAACUUGUACCAUCUUCUCUUUAUUCUCGCAUUCUGAAAUUGACAGUGAUGUGUCAUGAUCUGAAUCUAUUUACUUUCCUUGGCCAGUGCAAGAUAAAUAACAAGAUGGGGUGAGAUCAUUGAGGAAAAGUGUGCUCACAGCUAUGAAGAGACUUUCAGACUCCUGCCUCCUUCCUCCUUCUCC